UGACUUCUACAGGAGCACAUAAAGAAA
rnacentral:piRNA from 1 species